ACGUGGCUAGCUCCUACCUUGUAUGUUUGGUCCCCUGUCCAUUGAUAUUGUCCGUCCAAAUCUUUAGAAUUAUAUGUAUGUAGCCUGUAUUUCUCAACGUUGCUAUGUUGUGGUCUAAAUACUGAUUGUUAUCUUACUGCAAUUGCAUUUGAUUUGAUUGCGCCGUUGUGUCGUGGUCUCACUCUCCAUAGAGAUUUUGGCAUGGUUCUGACUAGCAAAUUUCUAGAAUAUUGUAAGUCAGUUUUUGGUUCAUCUUGUUUGGAAACCAGGAUACUGUGAUGUAAAUGCUGAAGUCCUUGCCCCUUCACACAUCAGCAAAACUAAGUGCUACUCUACUUUUAUUUUUCCUCACUUUAAAACAGAUAAACAGAAGCAAAAGUUGCUCUUCCUGUUCACGUAUCAUAACAGGAUGCAGAGGUUGCUUUCCCUGUGUUUGCCUUAAGUACUAAACACAUCACAAAUAGAAGGAAUUACUAGCUGCAGUUCACGGCUGUAGUCACGGCUGUAGUUGAGGUUGAUGCAGAGGAGCCGAACCACACAAAUGCACGACUCUCCUCUUAUUUCUCUAUCAAACUAUUGUCAUAUCCGAGAAAAAUAUGAAUUCGUUUCCAAGUCCCAAAUAUCAUUGGCUUCACUCUGUAUAUUAAAGAGAGACAUACCAGAUUUUAUACACACAAAAAAUCAUAUUGCUUACAAAUGGAUUUUAGGAAUUUUGGACAAGAUAAGUGGAAUACCGUUAGUAAACGAGCAUAGUACCCAUAUUCCUGCAAACCGUCUGCAUUUGUUCCAGUCAUUUUCUCUAUAGGUGCUUCGCAUUGUGCAACUGGAAUGUACUUCUCUCCUGUCUAUGCAAAAAAUAAAUCAGAAUAAACAUUAGUUGAGUUAUUACUAAAUCUAUAGGCUGUUUUGAUAAGUGAUAAGAGAUUUACAGAAGAAGAUUGUUUUUCGGGAAUGACUUUAGCUGUCCCUUUUUUCUUUUUACUGGGAUGUUGAUUAUCAAGCCAUGAUUUCUUCGUUUUUGAAGUCUUCUGCUGAAUUUCCUUUUUAUUCAGACAAGCUGUUUGCAAACAAAUGUCUGGUUCCUGAGAUAUAGCUUCAGUUCUGCAUGUAGUAGUAGGAGCUUUGUCUUCAACUUGCUUCUUUAGAUUCUUCAAAGCAUCAUCUACUAAUUUUAUGCACUCUUGUGAUGCAACUGCUUGGGAAGCUAUGCCAAGGAACUCAUGCAUGAAAAACUUAAGCUGCUGCCUAUCUUCCGAUCUAGGGUCUUCCAAAACAAUGUUGCCAUGGCUGUUUUGAAUAGUCCCGCUUCGUGCUUCUCGAGUCCAUCGCUUCAAAAUAUAGUGGCUUGGAAGAUACUUAAUAUUCAUGACAUCAAGGGCUUUCAAAGCAUGACUACACAAUAUACCAACUCUUUCGAAUUGACCACAACUACAUAGAACUUUUUGCUCUUCAUCAACCAGAACUUUGCAUUCUUCCUCAUAAGAGCAUUCCGGGUCAAGAUUGGCAAUUUCAACAGUAUAUACAUUGUGUUCCUUCGAUGGCUUGAUGUACGAUGAGAUGGAUCUUUCAUAUUCAUUCUGAAAAUCUUCAAAUAUGUGAGGUGUGUAAACUUUGCUUGCUUGUAUUACUGUAGGAGUUCUUAUUCUAACUCUAGGUAAUUUUUUCCUAGACUCAUAUUCUUCAUUUACCUCUUUAUCUCUCUUUCCUUUCACAACCCUCUCUACGUGCUUGAAAAAACAAAGAAUGUCAAGAUCAGACUUCAAAUGGUCUUUCAAGUCACUAUUCAAGCUCUCACUUGAUUGUGUGCUUCUCAUGCCUAUAGUGUAAGCAUUCCUCAUGUAACAUCUUGCCCAUUUCACUUUUACUUUAUAGAUACUGUCCAACCAAGUCUGUGUAUCCACAUUGACUCUUAUGGCAGUGAAAGCUUCUUCAAAGUCUUCCUCUUCCUCAUACUUGUACAUGCAAGCACUGAAAUCAGCAAGUACAUUUGGGCCAUCCUCGUCUUUUUUCUUAUGAGGAGAAGGAAGAGGCAAAAGGGAGAUCAUCUACAUUAAUAUCCUGUCAAUAAUUGGAAAUCCCAAGUACUUCACGAGCAAAGCACCUAUGGAGAAGGAUGGUAGAAGUGAGUUCAAAAGGGAGAUCAUCCACACCACUUGCAGAUCAGCGGGAGGAGAACAAUCAGUAGAGCGAUAGGGCAAAAGGGAGAUUUUUAUACCACAUAAACUUGCAGAUCAACGUGAAGAGGACAAAGAUAGGGCAAAAGGGGAUCUCUAUGCCGCCCAUAGAUCAACAUAUACCUUGGUCACGUUCUGGCUACAAGGAGGAGGAUCAAGGAGGACUGGGGAAGACGGGCGGGAUGAAGGCAUAGAGAUCGCUGUUUGGCGACAUCGUUCUGUUUGGCGACGAAGGCAUGGAAUCGCUAUUUGGCGCCAACGUGCGUUCUGUUUGGCGCCAAGCAGCCGUAGGAGAUUUUUCAGCAGACAAAUUGGGUGUUUGUUUUCAUUUUUUUAAAAGAAAUAAGUGGGGAAAUUAGAGUGGUCAGAUGGAA